AUUGAACGCUGGCGGCAGGCCUAACACAUGCAAGUCGAGCGGAUGAAGGGAGCUUGCUCCUGGAUUCAGCGGCGGACGGGUGUGUAAUGCCUAGGAAUCUGCCUGGUAGUGGGGGAUAACGUCCGGAAACGGGCGCUAAUACCGCAUACGUCCUGAGGGAGAAAGUGGGGGAUCUUCGGACCUUACGCUAUCAGAUGAGUCUAGGUCGGAUUAGCUAGUUGGUGGGGUAAAGGGCUAACAAGGCGACGAUCCGUAACUGGUCUGAGAGGAUGAUCAGUCACAGUUGAACAGAGACACGGUCCAGACUCCUAAGGGAGGAGGCGGGGAGGAAGAUCAGAGGAUGGGAGAAAGACUGAUCCAGCCAGGGCGCGUGGGUGAAGAAGGUCUUCGGAUAGUAAAGCACUUUAAGUUGGAAGGAAGGGCAGUAAGUAAAUACCUUGCUGGACGGUCGUUGCCAAAAAAGUAAGGGCCAGCUAAGUG
rnacentral:rRNA from 1 species